rnacentral:tmRNA from 1 species
GGGGCUGACCUGGCUUCGACGUGGGUGCGGAGUUGGUUCAGGGGCAUGCCGAGCACCAGUACGCUCGUAAAUCCACUGGAACAAAGUAACUGCGAACGACGAACGUUUCGCCCUCGCCGCUUAACACCGGUGAGCUUCUCAACGGUUGGCCGAUGGGCCGGGCCCGCAAGGGCUGAGAAGUCAUUCACAUCGGCUGGCAUCGCACCGGGUCACUCGGUGCGGCGCGAGACUCAGUGACUGGCGGGUGAGGUAGCGUGCCGCUGCGCGACCGGACCCGCGAGACUCAAAUCAGACGGCUACGCAUGUAGAACUGGCCAGCGAUGGCUUGCGGACGGGGGUUCGAUUCCCCCAGCUCCACCA